UACGAAGGGGGCUAGCGUUGUUCGGAAUUACUGGGCGUAAAGCGCACGUAGGCGGCUUUGCAAGUCCCAUGUGAAAGCCCACGGCUUAACCGUGGAAGUGCAUGGGAAACUGCAGAGCUUGAGUACUUAAGAGGAUCGCGGAAUUCCCGGUGUAGAGGUGAAAUUCGUAGAUAUCGGGAGGAACACCAGUGGCGAAGGCGGCGAUCUGGGAAGAUACUGACGCUGAGGUGCGAAAGCGUGGGGAGCAAACAGG
rnacentral:rRNA from 1 species